CCCUACGGGGUGCAGCAGGGGGAGAAUGUCUAUUGCAUCGACCAGCCCGCGUCACACGAGCGGCUACUCUACGACGCACUGAUGGCGCGAACCGCCGCAAUCGUUUCCCAGUCUUUGUUUUUGCCGGAAGACGUGCGCCUGCUUCCUACGGAAUCGGAUGUGUUCUUUAUCAAUAAAGACGAGUUGGAGCGGUUCGGGUUUGUAUUUUCGGAUGCAAGCGAGACGAGCGUGACGCUGCUUGCUGUCCCGCAGAUCAACGGAACCGCGCUCAAGGCUGCGUUUCUGCAUGAUGUGCUGGAGUUUUUAUCCGGCUCCGAAGAAGCGCGCCCAAACGACUGGUUCCGAGACGCGAUUGCGCAAUCCGCUUGCAAACACGCGAUCAAGGCGGGGAGC
rnacentral:rRNA from 1 species